rnacentral:lncRNA from 1 species
AAAACAUGAGAAGUCAGAAUGCUUGGAAUUUCACCUGGAUCUGCCACCAUGCAUAAUGUGAAUUUGGAAAUGCUACUUAACUUCUCCAAGACACAGCUUAUGAAUCUUUGAGCCAGAGAAAAUAAACCACUAGAGAUUAGAAAAUUGUUCUCUGGGGUAUCUGACCACUUCCAGAGGAAAGACAUAAAGAUGCUGAUGUCAAGAAUGACCCAACUAAACGGCCCAGCCAGAUGACCCAGUUGAAGCUGGUGGACAAGAAGUUUCAUUCAUGGAAUCAGAACUUCCAAUAAGCUGGGAAAACGGCAAUGGAUUAAUAACAAGAAAUUAAUGGUGAAGUGGUGACGAAAAUUCUACAUUGCUUAGAAAGCAAAUAGUGAAAUGAACAUUUACAUUCUGGCAACCUCAGAAGUACAACGAACAGAGGACACCAGCCAGGUAGGGCAAAGGCCUGUGCGCCCCCUUUUGCUGUUACAUGUUUAUCAGAUGCGUGCUCUGUUUCUGUUGUAUUACAUUACUUUUCUCUUCAAUGUCUACUGAGGAAGAACAAGUAGCUCCUCAGGCAAGUCAACUGUUAACUCUGCAGUUUUUAUUUAAUCUCCCAGGAAUGUAACCCUUAACUUUAAAGAAUGUAGUGACCAUAAAACUUAUAAGGCAUGUUUCUUAAGGAAAUUGUACCUGUUUAUUUAAUCUAUCAGAUAUGAAUGUUAUAGAAAAUUAAAUUUGUCCACUUAAGCUGUAGAUGAACUUUUCACCUUUCUGAUCAGAAAUUCACCAUUUUAUAGUAUAGGUUCUGUUAUUAAUCAGAAUAUUUCAUUUAGACUCUUUCUAUCCAACUUUUUCUUAGAGGCUAUUCAAAAUAAAGGUGCUUCUAACAGUUUCAUAUCGAAAUACGAUGCAAAGCCUUGCUCUUCCAUGGUAUCCUUUGAGUGAGCCAAACUUAUUUAGCCAUUCCCCUAUAGUUAAAUAGCUAGGAUGUUUCCAACAUCUCACCUUUAAAACAAUAGUGCUAUGAAUGUCAUAAAUGUUUGUAUAUGUAAAUAUGUAGGAUAAAUCCCUAUCAGUAGAAUUUCAAAAGGUAUACGCAAUCAGUAUUUUCAUACAUAUUUAAAAUUUUCCAUCCAUACAAAGGUUGCUAACAUAUUUAUUUAAAAUUUUAAAAAUAAUUUUAUAUGCCUCUUGUAACCAGUAAUAGGAUGCAAAGUUUUUGUUUUAAGGUAACAUUGCUCCUCUUCCCCCAUUGUCUCUGUCAUCUAUAGUACUCCCUAAGGUAGUUCAUGUUAUUGCAAGGGUGUGUAUCAUCCCAAACAUAUUGCUUCCACAUACAUAUAUCAGCAUACAUAUAUAUAUAUGUAUAGCAUAUAUAUAUAUGAGCACAUAUUAAUAUAUGCCCAUGCACAUACAAGCAUGUUUUUGUUAAUUUUUACUGAAAUGGAAUCAUGCUACAUACUUAUGAACAAAUUGCUUCUUUCACCUUAUAUCACUUAUAAUUGUUAUUCUACAAAUCAGUACAUAUAAAAAAUACAUAUUUACAUAUGUAAUACUCUAUCUGUUAUAAUUUUCUGCAUGCACAUGUAUGCAUAUACAUAUAUUCAUAAACAUAAAAAUCUAAACGGGAUUUUUUUGGG